UAAGGAAUAUUGCUCAAUGGGAGAAAUCCUGAAGCAGCAACGCCGCGUGGAGGAUGAAGGGUCUAUGACUUGUAAACUCCUGUAAAGAAGGAAAAAAUUCCCAUUAGAUGGGAGAUGAUGGUACUUCUGGAGUAAGCCCCGGCUAACUACGUGCCAGCAGCCGCGGUAAUCCGUAGGGGGCAAGCGUUGUCCGGAUUUACUGGGUGUAAAGGGUGCUCAGGCGGAUUUGUAAGUCAGAGGUGAAAUCUUACAGCUUAACUGUGAAACUGCCCUUGAUACUGCAAGCCUAGAGUAUGGAAGAGAGUGAUGGAAUAUCUGGUGUAGCAGUGAAAUGCGUAGAUAUCAGAUAGAACACCAAUGGCGAAGGCAGUCACUUGGUCCAUUACUGACGCUAAAGCACGAAAGCGUGGGUAGCAAACA
rnacentral:rRNA from 1 species